CUGGGAUGUAGUGGCAACACCUGUCUCGGCGUCAGGAGGUCCGGCUUCCCCUCUGACGUAGCCUCCGACAAGUCCUUUGGGUUUUCUGGGCCUUUCGUGUCCUUCUCCGGAAAGUGAGGAGGCUGACUGCUCCCGAUUGCCGAGUCCGGCUGAGGUCUAGCCGAGCCUCCUCGUUGAGGAACGUGGGUCGACGUGGAGCGCAGGCCCCAGGCCGCCAAGAUGGCGGCAGCUGUUGCCGCGCAGGUGAAAUGCCCGGAUGGAGGAACAGCGGGAGCCCCCUGCAGGCUAAGAUGCAAGAUUUCACCCCCAGAGACCCUGGUGGAGCGCCUCAAAGAGGUUGCUGCUGGUAUUACAGCAGGUAUGUCGGGGUAAUGAAAGGGAGUUUGCUGGGAUUUUGACGGCCUGCUGACCGUCCUUCUCAGAAGGAGCUCAGACGUGAGCCGCACGCAGAUACCAGCGAAGUGUGGAGGGUACUUGCGCCUCCCUGACCAUGACCUGCUUUGCCUCGCAUCCCUGAAUCAUUUUAUAGCCUAAUUGAGAAUCAACACCUAACAAAAGAGGACUGGUAAAAAAAAUAUAUAUAUAUCAACAUCAUCCUUUUUAAUGGCUUCAUAAUAAUUUUAUCAUGUGAGCAUAACAUAAAUUAUUUAACAAUUCCCCAUUGUUUGGAGUUUAAAUUUCUUUCCCUUUUUAUGUUGCUCUUAUAAACAAUGCUUUGAUGAAAAUAGUAUUCUGCAUAGAUCUUUGCACACCUACCUAAUUAUUUCCUUGAAUACGAUGAUUUUACAGCUUCUGAUAUAUAGUACCAUGUUUCUCUCUGGAAGAUUUGUUCCCGCUUAUUCCCCAUAGCAGCGUAUAGAUGUCAUUCCUCUCUCUGGCUGACUCCAGGCAUUGUAAUUCUUUUUAGUCUUUGCCAUUUGAAACAUAAAAAGAGUGUAUCCUUGUUUUCAGCCGUAUUUCUUUCGUUACCAUUGAGGUUGAGCAUUGUUUACAUUUGGAAAUUGUAUUUGCAUUUCUUCUUUCAUGAUUUGCUUUUUCAAUGUCACUUUGCCAUCUUACCCCUAUGGUGUGUAUAUUAGUUUCCUGGCGCUGCCAUAGCAAAUCGCUACAAACUGAGUGGCUUAAAACAACAGAUGUUUAUUUUCUCCUCGUUCUGGAAGCUGGAAGUCUGAAAUUAAAGUGUUCACAGGGCCAGACUUUCUCUGAAGACCCUAUGGUCAAAUCCUUCCCUGAUUUUUCCUGGCUUUGGGGGGUUGCCGGCAUUCCUUGGCAUUUCUUGUUUUGUAGCCGCGUUAUUCCAAGUUCUGCCUCCAUCGACCUCUUGUGCUUGUCCCUGUGUCUCCAAAUCUUCCUUUCCUUCCAAGAACACCAGUCACUGGGUUAAGGCUCACCCGCUAACCUAGUGUGAGCUCAACUAUGAAGACCCAGUUCCCAAAGAAGGUCACGUUCACAGGUAUCGCAGGGGUAGGACUUGAGCGUAUCUUCUGAGGGACCCCACACUUUGCUUUCUCCCCUGUUGUACCAGCUCUGCAUCUCACCUUUAGCUCCUUUGGCCCACGCCCGCCCCCCAGCUCAGCCUGAGAGGGACAGAUUGGAUUGGAUUUGAAGAAGGUAGGUUUUUAUUCCUGGCCGCCGUGUGCGUCACGAGUCUGUGGCAUGAACCAUGUUCUUCCAGAGAAGCUAAGUGACGGAGAGAGGGAGAGAAGAGGAUGUCUUCCUGGCACUGCUGUGCGCGACGGCUGGCAGCUCUUCCACCGGCAGGUCUCGAAGUCAGUGGGUUAGAUGGAUGUUGAUCAGGAUGAGGAAGAGGCUGAGCCACCGGCGCCAGUCUUUGAAUCAUAAAUCAAUGAACCAAGGACCAUGGGGGCUGCAAACGGAAUCAUCUGUCUUUACUGGGGUCUCCCUGGGCUUAUCUGAGGCUGUGUGACUAAUAGUGGUUUCUUAAAAGCAUCAAGUGGCUUUUUUUUCCUGCUUCUCAAGCGUUCAAGCAUUUCAACGGCAGCUUAGCCUUAGCAGUUUCUUUGCACCUCAGUGGAUCAUGCUCAUCAUAAGAAGCAGAACUAGUUGUAAAAUUGGGUUGUGAUGACGGCUGUACAACUAUAAAUAUAAUAAAAUUCAUUGAGUCUAAAAGAAAAUAAAUGAACAACAACAACAACAAGAAGCAGAGCUAUUGCGAGCUAAGAAGAGUCUCUGCUCUCUGCAAGGUUCUCUCCUAGAAGGGAAGGAGGAUGGACAGUUACUGGCUUUGCUUUCCUGAGGAGUUAAGCUGGAGCAGCAGCAGUCUAGCGGGGACUUCCACUGGGGUCCCGGUUCGGCGCCUCCUCUUCGGCAGCCUCACCUCCAAGGAGCAGCUCUGCGGCGUCAAGAGCACAUGGGGCUCCAGAGAGAUUCUGGGGUCUCUGGGAGUGGGAAGUGCCUUGUUCCAAGGUGGUGAGAGGGCAGUGUGCUAGUCAUCUCUCCCCCGGAUGGGCCUGGGGCGAGAACCAGUGUGGCCAGCUCAAUCUUUUCUUUUCAGUGAGGUACCAAGUGCCGUUAAGGGCUGGAAGAGAGAAAGAGGAUGAAGGCAGGUGUACCACACUCGCCAUCACCAGCUGCUGCCCGGGAAGGGAUGUAUCAGCAUCAAUGCACGUGUCUUCCAGAGGCAGAUGCUGACCAGGGCAGAAGUGCUGGGGUAAAAUGCCCCUGAAUUGAGGGAGAGUAUAGACCUGGGUUUGCUUUCUAGCUCUGCACUUCACUAGCUGAGGAGUGUGGCUUAAUCCUCUUAAUCUCUAAGUUUCAGUUUCUGUUUUGUAAAAAUCAGACAAUAUUUUGGUAUGUUGUUUAUAGGAUAAAAUCAAAUGUGAGGAAAUCCGAUCAUAGGGUGUGGCACAUAGUAGGUACCGAAUCAGUGUUGUUUCUUUCUUUUUUAUAGGAUCUUUCAGCCUAAAUAACAGAUUGGAGCCAUACCACUGAAUGAUUCUGCCUAAAAUAGUUGCUUUAUCCAGCUAGUUGAUGUUCUAGAAUUCUCUCUCUCGUUCCUUGGGCUAAGGUACUGUCUUUUAAAUAUGCUUUGGAAAACUUUCUUCUCUCUUUGCCUGAUCAGAAAUCUCCACAUCGGGUGGCUCAGACUUCACUAGCGGGUUACAAACCUGACUAGUAUCCCAUGUGGGUUUGAUCCCUGGCUUCCCUCAGUGGCUUAAGGAUCUGGCAUUGCUCUGAGCUGUGGUGUAGGUCAGGUGCGGCUCAGAUCCUUCGUUGCUGUGGCUGUGGCAUAGAUCGGCAGCUGUAUCUCUGAUUCUGCCAUCAGAGCUCCUGGAACUCCUGAGACUCCAGGAACUCCUGAGACUGCCAUGCUUUAGAUGACAGCUGCAGAGGUGUUUCAGAGUGUCUGUAGACUCAGGCUGGAGUAGUGACGAUCAGGUGGGGGAGUCAAGAUUUUCCCGGCCAUCCACAUCCUGCACUGAGUCCCAUCUCCCCGAUCAGUUCUAGCCCCCUUCUUAUCUCUCACCUGCGGGUGAGGACACUCGAUUACUAAAGAGCAGGCUUUAGGGAGUUCCCUCGUGGCUCAGCGGAAACGAAUUUGACUAGCAUUCAUGAGGACGCAGGUUCCAUCCCUGGCCUCGCUCAGUGGGUUAAGGAUCCAGCGUUGCCCUGAGCUGUGAUAUAGGUCACAGAUAUGGCUCGGAUCUGGUGUUGCUGCAGCUGUGGUGUAGGCCGGUGGCGAUAGCUCUGAUUCGGACCCUAACCUGGGAUCCUCUAUAUGCUGAGGAUGCAGCCCUAAAAAGACUGUAUAUAUAUAUUCAAAUCACUCCAGCUCCAAAUCACAGCUCCUUUCCCCCCUUGGAAGCAGAAGCAAAGGAUUCAUGACCACAGAGACCGAGAAAUUAAAGUCACUUUAGUGAGCAUUAGAUCAGUGCUUCUGGAAACCACUUUAUUGCUUUGGAAGAACUCCUUGUGAUAUUGUGGUAGCCAGGAGCCUUACUUAGAGCAGCUCAGACACUCUGGCCUCGAGGCUUAACUCCCAGUAGCAUGGUCUCCUGCAAGAAUCUGUCUUUUGAAGGAUGAGGCAUUUUCAUCACCAGGGGGAAUGAGAUGCUACAAGCCUACCAUGGUCUUCUUCCCAGGGGCGGGUCAUAAUUCUGUAGUCUAAGACUCUGGUUCUGUGUGUGGGGCAGUGGACGUUAUGCUCUGGGUGAUUGAAUGUGUGAUUCAUUUGACACUGAGAAUAAAAUCAGGUUGACUAAUAAGAAAAUACAAGCCUCAGAGGAUCUGAAGAAAAGCCUUGAAAUCAUUGUUGAAUCAUAAAUUAACACCCAUAACGAGAAUAGAAAUUUACCCUAAAUUUAGGACCCUCUGUUUUUAUUUUUUUUUUCCCACUGCGUUUAAAUGCUUCCCAUAAAUCCUAAAUAUUUAGGGGCUGUAAAGUUGAUUAAACCCCUGAAACAUAGUUCCCUGGGACAUAAGAAGAAAAUAUUAAGCACUUUUUUAAAGUCCAUGAGCAAGACCUGAGAUGUGGUUUCUUUGAAUAGUAAGACUUAUGCCUUCUCUACUGAGGUCAAGAGGAAA
rnacentral:lncRNA from 1 species